rnacentral:rRNA from 1 species
UCGAACGCGUGUAGCAAUACACGAGUGGCGCACGGGUGAGUAACGCGUGGAUAUCUGCCUUUUGGUUCGGAAUAACCCCGGGAAACUGGGGCUAAUACCGGAUGGUUCCUUCGGGAUAAAGAUUUAUCGCCAAAAGAUGAGUCCGCGUACGAUUAGCUAGUUGGUGAGGUAAUGGCUCACCAAGGCGACGAUCGUUAGCUGGUUUGAGAGGACGAUCAGCCACACUGGGACUGAGACACGGCCCAGACUCCUACGGGAGGCAGCAGUGGGGAAUAUUGGACAAUGGGGGCAACCCUGAUCCAGCCAUGCCGCGUGAGUGAUGAAGGCCUUCGGGUUGUAAAGCUCUUUUGGCGGGGACGAUGAUGACGGUACCCGCAGAAUAAGCCCCGGCUAACUUCGUGCCAGCAGCCGCGGUAAGACGAAGGGGGCUAGCGUUGUUCGGAAUUACUGGGCGUAAAGCGCGUGUAGGCGGUUGCCCAAGUCGGGUGUGAAAGCCUUGAGCUCAWCUCAAGAAAUGCACUCGGUACUGGGUGGCUAGAGGACCGGAGAGGAUAGUGGAAUUCCCAGUGUAGUGGUGAAAUUCGUAGAGAUUGGGAAGAACACCAGUGGCGAAGGCGGCUAUCUGGACGGUUUCUGACGCUAAGACGCGAAAGCGUGGGGAGCAAACAGGAUUA